GAUGAACGCUAGCGGCAGGCCUAACACAUGCAAGUCGAGGGGCAGCACAGAAACAGCAAUGUUUGGUGGCGACCGGCGGACGGGUGCGUAACGCGUAUGCAACCUACCUUUAACAGGGGGAUAACGGAGAGAAAUUUCCACUAAUACCCCAUAACAUCGAUCAAGGCAUCUUGAUUGGUUGAAAACUCCGGUGGUUAAAGAUGGGCAUGCGUUGUAUUAGGUAGUUGGUGAGGUAAUGGCUCACCAAGCCUACGAUACAUAGGGGGACUGAGAGGUUAGCCCCCCACACUGGUACUGAGACACGGACCAGACUCCUACGAGAGGCAGCAGUGAGGAAUAUUGGUCAAUGGGGGCAACCCUGAACCAGCCAUGCCGCGUGCAGGAAGACGGCUCUAUGAGUUGUAAACUGCUUUUAAACAGGGAUAAAGCACAGUAUGUAUACUGUGUUGAAGGUACUGUAAGAAUAAGGAUCGGCUAACUCCGUGCCAGCCGCCGCCGUAA
rnacentral:rRNA from 1 species